rnacentral:rRNA from 1 species
AGCAGCCGCGGUAAUUCCAGCUCCAAUAGCGUAUAUUAAAGUUGUUGCAGUUAAAAAGCUCGUAGUUGAAUUUCGGGAUCAAUAUGUUGGUCGUGCCUCGGUACGUACUAGCUUAUUGGUUUCUCCUUUCUGAAGAACCAUGAUGUCCAUUUAUUUGGUGUCGUGGGGAAUCAGGACUGUUACUUUGAAAAAUUAGAGUGUUUAAAGCAGGCUCACGCUUGAAUACAUUAGCAUGGAAUAAUGAAAUAGGACGUUUGAUUCUAUUUUGUUGGUUUCUAGGAUCGACGUAAUGAUUAAUAGGGAUAGUUGGGGGCAUUAGUAUUCAAUUGUCAGAGGUGAAAUUCUUGGAUUUAUUGAAGACUAACUACUGCGAAAGCAUUUGCCAAGGAUGUUUUCAUUAAUCAAGAACGAAAGUUAGGGGAUCGAAGACGAUCAGAUACCGUCGUAGUCUUAACCAUAAACUAUGCCGACUAGGGAUCGGAUGAUGUUAAUUUUUAAUGACUCAUUCGGCGCCUUAAC